UCCAAGGAGACUGAAAAUAUUCUUUAAAUCUCACUGUUGAAUCUAAACAGAAGCUGGAGCACCUGUUCGCCAACUCAACUAAAGAGUGAGGUUGAAUCGUUCUCAUUGGAGUUCAGUACACUGUGCACACUCAAACUGAUAAGACACGUUUUAUUCGCUAAUCAAGACGAAUUUUUUUUUUCCCCAGUCGAGCAAGUAACACGUGACAAUUGUCAAUCUCAUCGAAUAUUCCCAACUCCAGUGUUAAAUUGUAAUUUUUUAUGCUUUUUCCUGCUCGGAGUGAAAAUUUGUUAAUCCUUUAAUUCGUGGGUUUAAUCAAGUGCGAAAGACAAUUUUUCUGGAUAUUUCCCUUUCGAGUUAGAUUCUGAAUCUGAAUUGAUUCGAAUUUUCAAAAGAGUAAAACGAAACGAUCGUUAUAAAAAAGAUGCUGGAGAGAAGAUUAAGGAUCAAAUGUCGAUUUAUCAAAUUAUCGAAAGAGUAACGAUCACAUUAGACAGAGAAUUAUUUUAUGGAAUUUUUCUAUAUCAGAAACGAAUGAACGAAAUUUUUUUUGAGAUUUUGCAUCUGAAAAGAAGAAAUUAGAAGAAAUUAGCAAACAAUAGUUAAUAAAAGGAAAAUCUAUUAAAACAAGAAGAAAGGAUAAAUUAUGCUAACAGAUGAAGGAAAAAUUAUUUAGAGACAAGAAAAUAGAGAAAAAAGUAAAAAAUAAAGGAAGAAAGUAAAAAACUGA